rnacentral:tRNA from 1 species
GGAGGGUACAGCUCAGCGGUACAGCGUUUGCCUAACAUGCAUGAGGUCCUGGGUUCAAUCCCCAGUCCCUCCA